rnacentral:lncRNA from 1 species
ACGGUCAAAAACAUUUUACGAGAAAGCAAGUUGUCACGUUCGUGACAGCAUGCGUGACGGGCGUCAUGGGGGUGUUGCGACCGUGACAGCAUGCGUUACGCUCGUCACACCUCUGAUCAUGCAACGGUCAAAACGUUCGUGACAGCAUGCGUGUUUAAUUAUUAUUAUUAUAUUUUUUUUUAUUAUUUUUUUAUUAUUUUUAUUAUUAUUAUUUUUUUUUUUAAAUUGCCAUGACCAUAAAUAUCAAUGCUAAUUUGACUUUAUAAAUUGUGUCAUG